UUCACAAAUUGAAAUUGUGGACCAGAUACUGAGGAUAAAUCAUGGACGGGGUCUACGAUUUCCUUGGUCGUUGUUUCUUCCUCCCUCUCAACUUUUUUCUUUCUUCCUCUCUACUAGUCCGAUGCGUCAAUUGUCUCUACCGUUCGCCGUCGAUCCUAGUUAAGAAGACAAGCCCACAACUCUUCCUUGAUUCUCUCCUUGAGAAUAGUGAGGAAGGUUUUGCGAUGGUGUCCAAGAGUCCUUGUAAGUUGUGUUCGAGAGGUGGAAAAGAGUUCAUGACCUAGCAGAAGAGGGAAAUGUGAAGAAGUAUUUUUUCUUCAAGGGUAGCGGUCACUCCCCAGAAGACAACUCUGUUGUUGCUCUGCCACUCAAGACCAAAAUGUUAGAAAGUCUAAGUGAGGGUUAUGUAUAAAGUAGUACGCAUGGAUUAUGUCAUGUAGGGACUAAUGGAGUGUGUUAGGCUUACUAUUUAUGUAAAGUGUAUAAGUUGUAUUAUUGAAGAGUAAUGUAGAACUCUGUUAAUGAUUGUCAUUUGUCUUAAAUUGAUGAUUUAGUGUAUAUAUAUAUAUAUAUAUGCAUUUCGAGGUUCUAAGUCAGGUUAAGCAGGUUAGUAGCAGUAAGUACCAAUAAGAGGGUUGGUGACUACUGCGGUCACAUCUCCUUGCAGGUUUAAAAGGUAAUCUGGGAGGGGGUGUGACAUGUAUGGCUCAGGAAAUUUUUUAUUGAUCUGGAAGUAUUUCCAAGCA